rnacentral:tRNA from 1 species
GCCUGGAUAGCUUAGUUGGUUAGAGCAUGGUGCUGAUAACACUAAGGUUUCAGGUUUGAACCCCGUAUGGGACA